rnacentral:rRNA from 1 species
GAACUGAAGAGUUUGAUCCUGGCUCAGAUUGAACGCUGGCGGCAUGCCUUACACAUGCAAGUCGAACGGUAACGCGGGGCAACCUGGCGACGAGUGGCGAACGGGUGAGUAAUAUAUCG